rnacentral:lncRNA from 1 species
AAACAUAAAGUAUUUGUCACCUUUUUAAAGAUUUAAUAUUUUCCUUUACGUUAAUACUGACUGCUGCUUUGUUUUUAGCCUGAUUAUAGUGACUAAUAAGGAGUACAUGAAAGUCUUUCUCUUAAAAACUGGUUUAGUAAUGGAAGAGAUUAGCAAAAGAGACUUCUUUUAUAGCUAAACCUGUGUCUUAACCAUCUUCUUUAUCAUUUGAGUAAAACCUUAAAUCUAGGGCUGACAUGUGUAAUUUGCUUUAAUUUCAAAGUAGAGUAAUAGUUUGAUUUCCUGACAGCGAAGCCAGCUGAUGGUGAUACACCCUAGAAAACAACUGAACGAAAGCCUCCUGUAAAUGCUUUUCCCCUUUCAGAUAUGUUAUUAACAUCUUAGUGCUGCCACGAUCCUGUACCAUGCCUGUUACUGAUAAUAACAUAAUGUACAACCCUGAUGUUUUGUGUUCUAGCUUAUAAUUUCUUACCUUUCUUUACAUUUCUUAUGUAUAAAGAUAUAUGCUAAUUUUCUAUCAUAGCUCUUUAAAAAAUGAUAAGGAAUUACUUCACACCUAGAACUUGUUUUUUUUUCCCCCCUUCGACCUCUGUGGAAAAUCAUAAAGACCAGUGCAGUUAUAUGCUAUAUUUUCAUUAUGUUGAUUGACCUUACUAAUACGGUCUUUAGAAUUCACAGUGUAAAGUUCAAAUUUAUACCUGAUAUAAUGUAAGUUAAUUGCCUUUGUCAAGUUUUUCCCCACAAGAAGGAUGAUAAAUAGAUAUUGCUAGGUGUGGAAAAUAAAAAUAUAUGCAAAUAAAUAAAAUAUUGAGUCC